GGGGAUAUGGCGCAAUUGGUAGCGCGCUUCCAUGGCAUGGAAGAGGUUAGGGGUUCGAUUCCCCUUAUCUCCA
rnacentral:tRNA from 6 species